UAGCCCCCUGCACAUGCUACUAGUGCAUUUGAGACUGGUCUCCAUGGCAAGCCCAGCCUGAGCUUUCCCACGCAGGUGUGGCUGGGGUCUCCAUGGAGACCAGCCCAAGCCAUGAGGGUAGGGGUGUCUGGGUAAUGGAGGCCCCGGCUGACCAGAUCCAGCCCAUGGGCCAUCCCUGUACUGGAGCCUCCAGAUGGAUGCAAGUGUUCCCAACUCGCCCUCAUCAGUCAGAGGAGUGGGAGUCACUUUGGUCCCUGCUCUCUCGAGAAGCUGAAGAAGCAGGGUAGGGGUGGGGUGGCUGGAGGCGAGAGCAGCACAGGGAAAAUAAGAGUGCAGGGUAUUCUCCCCCUUCCUCCCAUGCUCUGUGCUCGUGUGUCUGGACUCUACCUACCACAGCUUGGCUCUUCCACGUUCUGCUGUGAACCAGGUCCUGCGCAGAGAGAGGCAGAGCACUUGGCUUGAAGAGCCAGCUGUCAGCCAUUGCCGAGGCUGGGAAAAUGUCUGCUGAGAAAUGUGAAUGUGAGAGGUCAGGAAGUGUGCCUGGGAUCUCACCAGGGCUCCCCAGAGCAUCUUCCAGACACCCUGUGGUAAGUGUAGCCCCACUUACCUUGACACUGGCCCUGCCUUUUCUCCCCUUUUGGGGAGACCAGCCACAAUACACCUCCUCCCCCAAGGUGCCUGCUGGAGUCUCUCUUCAGCUUAGGGAGGCUCCAGUACCUGUUAGAGGUUAGCACACUAUAUGAAGAUGCUGGGUUCAGAAGAGAAACAACCUUAAGCACCUGUGGUAUGCAGAAGACAGUCAUCUGGGAAGAGGGAUCAGCCCUUCUCCCCUGUCAAAACUGUGUUUCCUGAGAGAUUGGCCUCAGGACUGAGAACUGUCCACCUCAUCCUGCCCUUCAGGGCUGGGAAGGAGCAGGGGUCUGUUGCCUUCCAGAUGUUGUUCAUGACUCUGGCCUUGGGAGGGGAUUAGCCCAGGCCUGGAGCAAAAUAUGGCCCCAGUCCCAAGGCAAGGUCAGGUUGCCACCACUCUUGACUCGCUGUGACGAGUGAGACAGAAAUUCCAGUCUGAGCAUGAAGUUUCAGUUUUGAGGAGGGGACGAGGACAAGCCUCAGCAGAAGAGCAGGGGCAGGUGCCCAGUGACUGUGUCCUUUGCCUCCAACAGCAGUUUAAGACUUGGUUUGAGUCAAGCAACCCCAUGGAGAGAGCCAGGGUCAUGAGGAGCAGCACCACCCUUCCAUCAAGCAGGGAGUGCUUGUAACAGGCCUUGCCCUAGACUCUGGCUCCCACCUCCUAUGUGGGCUGAGGGAUUUAGUGCUCUAGCUUUCGCUUCUCUGCCCCAGGCCUUCCCAUGAGGAUGCCAGUGCCAGGACAGAGCAGCCUGGGACUGAACAUAUUAGAUGGGAAUGUACUCCCUUCUCUUCUUCCACAAGGACUUCUCAGAUGUAUCCCAGCUGCGUGAUGUUGUGGUCCAAGUGGGGCUACUUGUGAAUGACUCAGCCAAGGACAUCUGUGGGAAGGCUGAGGAUGGGAUCCACAAACUCUACAAAAUCCUUCUGCACCAGAGGGGUGAGGAAGACACCUAUGGACAGGAGAUCCCUCACCCGGACACUGACCCGAGCUGGAGGACAUGAUGUUUUGUCCUGUCCAACUCAAUCCAGACUGGAUGAGCAUAAAAGUGAUUUCAAAGAGAAACAUGAAUUUAAAAGGUGUUAAGAAGUGUCAGUAGCUGUUCAACUCACCCACAGACUCAUCUGCUGCAAGGAUCCCCUUCCCUGAAGCCACAAUCUUAUGAGCAGUUUCGAAAAGGGCCUUCUUCUGCUCUGCGGACAGUGCUGGAAACUGGUGA